GUGCCAGCAGCCGCGGUAAUACGGAUUGGUGCAAGCGUUAUCCGGAUUUAUUGGGUUUAAAGGGUCCGUAGGCGGGCCGAUAAGUCAGUGGCGAAAUCCCGCAGCUUAACUGUGAAACUGCCAUUGAUACUGUCGGUCUUGAGUAAAUUUGAAGUGGCUGGAAUAAGUAGUGUAGCGGUGAAAUGCAUAGAUAUUACUUAGAACACCAAUUGCGAAGGCAGGUCACUAAGAUUUAACUGACGCUGAGGGACGAAAGCGUGGGGAGCGAACAGGAUUAGAUACCCUGGUAGUCCACGCCGUAAACGAUGCUAACUCGUUUUUGGAUUUUCGGAUUCAGAGACCAAGCGAAAGUGAUAAGUUAGCCACCUGGGGAGUACGAUCGCAAGAUUGAAACUCAAAGGAAUUGACGGGGGCCCGCACAAGCGGUGGAUUAUGUGGUUUAAUUCGAUGAUACGCGAGGAACCUUACCAAGACUUAAAUGGGAAUUGACAGAUUUAGAAAUAGAUCCUCCUUCGGGCAAUUUUCAAGGUGCUGCAUGGUUGUCGUCAGCUCGUGCCGUGAGGUGUUAGGUUAAGUCCUGCAACGAGCGCAACCCCUGUCACUAGUUGCUAACAUUAAGUUGAGGACUCUAGUGAGACUGCCUACGCAAGUAGAGAGGAAGGUGGGGAUGACGUCAAAUCAUCACGGCCCUUACGUCUUGGGCCACACACGUAAUACAAUGGCCGGUACAGAGGGCAGCUACACAGCGAUGUGAUGCAAAUCUCGAAAGCCGGUCUCAGUUCGGAUUGAGUCUGCAACUCGACUCUAUGAAGCUGGAAUCGCUAGUAAUCGCGCAUCAAGCCA
rnacentral:rRNA from 1 species